AUUGAAUGCUGGCGGCAUGCCUUACACAUGCAAGUCGAACGGUAACAGGUCUUCGGAUGCUGACGAGUGGCGAACGGGUGAGUAAUACAUCGGAACGUGCCUAGUAGUGGGGGAUAACUACUCGAAAGAGUGGCUAAUACCGCAUGAGAUCUACGGAUGAAAGCAGGGGAUCGCAAGACCUUGUGCUACUAGAGCGGCCGAUGGCAGAUUAGGUAGUUGGUGGGAUAAAAGCUUACCAAGCCGACGAUCAGUAGCUGGUCUGAGAGGACGAUCAGCCUCACUGGGACUGAGACACGGCCCAGACUCCUACGGGAGGUAGCAGUGGGGAAUUUUGGACAAUGGGCGAAAGCCUGAUCCAGCAAUGCCGCGUGCAGGAUGGAGGCCUUCGGGUUGUAAACUGCUUUUGUACGGAACGAAAAGCCCCGGGUUAAUACCCUGGGGUCAUGACGGUACCGUAAGAAUAAGCACCGGCUAACUACGUGCCAGCCGCCGCGGUAA
rnacentral:rRNA from 1 species